CCCGCCCCCAGGGGGGGCCGCUGCCCUGGAGCCCCGCCCACAGCGUCCGACACCCGGCCAGGCUGGGGAAAGUCUUGACCCGAAUACCCGCUAGGGGAAAACCUAGCCCAGGAGGAGUGGGGCAGGGCAUCCUGGGGCGGGGCCAGGGGUCUCCCGGAUACCUGAAGAGGGGAUGAGUGUGUGUGUGUGUGUGUGUGUGUGUGUGUGUGUGUAUCUGUGAAGGGGCUUGUGCACGAGAUUUGAAAUGUAGAGAUGGAUGGCUUUGGAGAUUCAUGGAGAAUCUGGUGGUGAGGGUACAGAAAGGGAUCACUGUAAGGAGGUUGGGAGGCUCAGGGAAAGAUUCUAAGAGAUCCAGGGAUCUGCAGGAGGCUUUAGGCAAGGGAAGAGUGGUGGCUGCGCUGUGCAGGGGGAAAAGGAUGUACAGGGAGAAGGGUGAGAUCCCUGAAGGAGGCUAGAGAUAACCCUGAGCUGACUGUGCAGAACCCCCCCAGGAAGUGAGGGCCCGGGAUCUCCCCUCUACACCGCUGCCCCAAAAGAGGUGAAAGGCUGCCUCCCCUUCUCUGUCAAGGGGAGAGGGAAGCGGUGGAAACCGGGGAUCCCGUGGGCGUAGUUCUGGUGUGUCCCCUGGGAGAGUCUGGAGAGUGGCCCUCCUAGAUAAACUUUCCCCCAGCUCCUGAUGUUGGAGCUCAGAUACCCCUUUUCCCAGCAGAAAGAUCUUAACUGUGUGUUGACUCAUGGAGAGGGGAAUGUGCCUGAGCUGAGUGGGUGCUCAGGGUUGGGGGAUGUGCUCAACCAUUCUCUGACCCUGUCUUCGGGACCAUCCCCCCCACCCCCCCACCCCCGCCCUGUGUUACCGUGGCUGCCAGGCAGUGGGAGAGACUGGAACAGCCCAGCUGAAGUCUCUGUCGUCAGUGGUGCCCAAAUAAGAAGUGAGAGGAGGAAGUGGAAGGCCAGUCUUGGCGUCUAAAGAGCAGCUAGCCACCACAAGGCGUCAGCAUCACAAGCUGGGGGCCUCCGCAUCCCACCAUUGGCCACUAAACAGAGGCUGGGGAGGUACAGUCCCCAUCUGUCCCCUUCUCCUCCAGUCUUCCCAAAUCUGUGUUAUGCCUUUACAGCUGACAUUUAUUGAGCAUUUACCAUGGGCCGUGCACACCGUUCUGUGGGUGCUGUUACAUACAUGUAUUAACUCAUUUGGCCUUCGUAACAACCCUAGGAAAUCGGUACCUCAUGGAUGAGGAAACUGAGGCCCAGGGAGGUUAAGUAACGUGCUCUAGGCCACUGAGUGCCAGAACGGAGGCUCAAAGCCAGGCAGCCCGGCACCAGAGCCUGCCAUCCUAACCCCUAUGUGAUGCUGUCUGCUUCAGUUUCUCCUUCCCCCUACAUUUAUGCCCUGAUCCAUGCCGGGUACCGGCUGGGCACUGGGGCUACAGAGUCUAUGGUCUGGUUAUAUAUACAUGUGCUGUGUUAGACGGGUGGCAUGAACAGUCCAGAGAGGCAAGUGGCCACAUCUGACAGGAAGGAAAGGCUGUCUCCUGUCUCGGUGCCCUGGUCUGUCUCAGUCGCUGUUCUUCCUUGUCUCCUUGACUCUGUCUUUCCCUCAGCCCCCCAUCCCUGGGGCCCCAGCUCCUGCAGGAGCUAUGGGUGGGAGGGGUCUGUGCCACCCCUCAGUAAUUACACAAGUCCAGAUGGCAGGAUGCUUGUUGGGUGGGGGGCAGAGGGUAGACUGGGGGCUGCUGGGAGCCAAGAGCUGAGUCCCUUCCUCUCCCUCCUGCCACCUCCCCCUGGGCACCACCAAGUGGCCACCGGCUGAGGGGCCGAGGGGGUGUUGGUGGGGAAACAUGGGACUCUAUUGUGAAGCAUCAGCACAGAUGGACCCCUGGACCGUCUGCUGCCUGCUCCUGACAGACGGCAUCUGGGGUGGGGGUGGGGGUGGGGGUGGGGAUGGGGAGGAGAGCAAAGGCAGGGGAGGCAGUGGUUUGGUUUCUUUUCUCUUCACUCCUGUGCGUAUCCCUGAAGAGACCAGCAAAAGGGCACCCUGUAGGAUCCCUUGUGCGAAGGACCACCACCUUACCUAUCCCAGGGAUGACCUAAAGGACACCUCCUUGCCUGAAAGCUGGACAAGUGAACACCACGGGUGUCACGGCACCCGCGUCUAACAGCCCUGUUGAGACAUUCCUCCUUCAGGGGCGCCUGCGUGGCUCCGUCGGUUUAGCGUCCAGCUCUUGAUUUCAGCUCAAGUCACGAUCUCACAGUUCAUGUGAUUGAGCCGCGUGUCAGGCUCUGCCGUCAGCGCGGCGGCUGCUUGGGAUUCUCUUUCUCCCCCCACCUCUCUGCCCCUCCACCUGCUGGCAUGUGUGGUCUCUCUCUCGAAAUAAAUAAACAUUAAAAAAAAAAAUAGACAUUCCUCCUUCAGGUUUCCCCCUCUUCCAAGCAGAGCUCCGGAGAACCAGAGUAAGUGUGGGCCCAGGAAAUGCAAUUUCUGGGAGGCACGUGGCAUGAUUUCCUCCAGUCCUGGAAUCCAAGAGCUGGAAAGGAAGGGCCUGCCCUGUGGCCUGGCAACAAUACGACGUGGUCCAAGCACUCAUUGAACACAGGAGGCAAACCGAGACCCGUGGGGGGGUAAGGAUUGAGGCAGGACAGGCCCUAGUACCCACUAGACCCAAGGUCUCCGGCCUCCAGAGACUAUUUAAUUCAGCUGCUAGUUGCUCCCCUGAGAGUUCAGAGAGUUCAGAGAUAUGUAUGUGUGCCUGCUUCCUUCUCCCAAUCUCCUCACAGUCUCCAAGGAGGGGAUGGGGGGCCCAGGAUGCCACACUAUGGGGUGGUGAUGCCCUCUGGUGGCCGUGGGUCUCUGGGUGGAAAAUCUUCAAACCAGAGUGAAGGGCUGUCUGGCUCGUGCCUGGCUCCACUCGGGAUCUGAGUGGGGUUUAGGGAAUCCCCCACAUCUCCUCUCCUGCGCAGGAGGGUCCGUGUCCCACUGAGAUGCCAAGCUCCCCUUCGGUCACAGAGUUCCGGAGUCUCACCGCUGGCCCAGUUAGGAAGUUGUGUUUUUGAUCUCCACCAGGGCUGCCGGACUGCAGGUGAAGUUCAACAAGGAGAGGGCGGACAGCUGGAGGGGCCUCCUCUGUGCAAGAGUCUCCACACGCCAGACACACGAGUUCCCUGAGGAAGAAGGAAUUCUGCCUCCAGACUGCCUUUGGACUCAAGACUGCACCAUCAACUCUUCCCUGCAUCUCUAGCUGUCGGCUUGAUUUGAAACUUGCCAGCCUCCACAGUCAACAAGCACGUUCUCCGGACUGUAAACCUCAGAGGACAUGACCUGCCAGGGACAAAAAUUUAAGAGGUGUGAAAAAAAACCCAAGUGAGACAUUAUUCCAAAGAAUUCAGGUCUCCUGUGUCACAGGGGCCUUGCAAAGGUGAAACAGUGUUGGUAACCUUCAAGGCACACAAAGAGGUACCAGCAAAGUUGCCCUUCUGAUGUUCAGAAUGGUGCAGGUGAAGCUGCAAUCCAUAGCCUGGUGGAUUUUCGAUCCACGCCUGGCAAGAUGACUGAUCCGUCACAGGAUGGCUUUUUAACGGGGUUGAGAUUCACUACGAGCCACCACAUCUUUUUCAACAGAGAGCUUCAACAGCCACAAUACCUUGUCACUUCAGAGACACCUGGAUUUCUGCAGCUAUCUUUGUCCAUAAAUGAAUUAUGGCUAGGGCACAAGGACAAUUUAAUUAGCAGCUGAUCCGGGUUAUUGGGCUAUGUGCCAAACUUCAAGCCAACUUCUUAGAGGACUCGCUAUCCUGGGUUCCCGCGGCCGAGAGGAGGAAAGAUCUGCCCCGCCACCCACACACUGAAAAGACGACGAAGCACGGAAGACUCCCACCUCAAAUCACCCGAGUCCCCCGAGAUUCUCAUUUAUUCUCCAAUCUACAAGGGGAGAAGCAGGAAUCUGAGCAGGACUCUUAGGCAGCCUUCAAGGCUAGGUGGCUGCUGACACACCAGGAUCGAGAUCCUCUUUUGUACAGAGAAAAAAAUGCUGAAAGACAAAGGCAGACACAGACAAAGCCCAAGAAAACGUGUGUGGUUUGCGCCACCCCCCACCCCCACCCCCCUGCCCUGCACACUCCAGGCCAGGCCGCUCCCGGUGUUUCAGGGAGGGGAGACCCUGCACUCAGACUGGCUCCUCUUCUGAUGCGACCUGCUUCGACAUGCUGUCGUCAUUCCGGCCAACGAGGAAGGCAGCAAGGCCACCUCAGCACAUGUCUGCUCCCUUCCCCGCUCCCCUGACAAGAGCUGGGCGGUCAGUCUACACACAUGGAAGACAGAGGGCACCAAAAAGCUCUGUGA